ensembl:lncRNA
CGCGCACGCACACAUACACACAGUUUCAUGUUCUUCACUGUAUUUAUUUUUCACAUCUUCAGUGCUUCUUAGUAUAUUUAGAUUGUUCAAAAUUGUUGGUAACUGUUACACAAUCAUGCUGCAGUGAAGAAGUUUUAUAUCUGGUGAAAAACAGACCCCAAAAUGGAAUGUUGGAGAAAAAAAAAAGAAACUCAUUUGAAUAAGUGAAUGAGAGUAGAAAUCCUAGCUAAUCAGUUUUGUUACAAGAUACAUUACAUCUGUGUUUGAUAGAAUGGACUUACGGCUGGCGUAAAGGUCCUUUUUAUACUGGUGAUAGGAAUUGUUUCAGUGGGCUUAAGCUAAAGCGAUCAAACAAAUAUUAAAACCCCAGUGGCACAGCACAUAGGAUGGCAUUGCUUUUCAUGUGAAGUCUGUUGCAGGCCGGCAGCUCUCUCGAGUACCUCCUUUCCAGGCAGUGACCCAGGGUCCUGCACCCCCCACCCCCCAGCUCUGCGCAUGCCCCCAGGCCGCCACUGUAAGGAGAGAGCCGGCAGGCCAGCAGGCGCUUUAAAGCUUCAGACUGGAAGUGGUGUGUGUUGUCUUUGCUCGCAGCCCCUUGGCCAGAACCUACCACCUGCAGGGUGUGGAGGCGCAGGGUGCUGGGCGGUGUGGAGGGACCCUCGGGCCUUCUCCGUGCAGUGAGCCACGUUGCCCUUCUCCUUGGGUUGUCUCAUCCAGGCUCCCUGCGCAGAUAGACAAACCAAGGCUUAGGCCUGAAGCAUAGAACACAAGGAGUCAAGUGGUCCACAGAGCCGUGGUCCUCAAAGUGUGAGGCUCAGAGCGGCAGCAUCACCUGGGAGCUUGUUGGAAACACAGAUGGUUAGGCCCUACCCCAGACCUUCCAGUGAGAAACCAGAGGUGGGGCCCAGAUCUGUUUCAGUGAGCUUUCUGGAAGCGUGUUAACGUUUGAGAAGCACGGCCCUGGGUGAACGGAAUGUCUUCAGGGCCUGUUGGGCUGCUAGUUAGCAGAUCAGCUCUGAAGUCCUGAUGCGCAUGGGGGAAUUGAUGCUUUCUCCCCAAGACUGUGUGUAUUCUUUUAUUUUUUUGGCCACACGGUGCAGCAUGCAGGAUCUUAGUUCCCUGACCAGGGAUUGAACCCAUGCCCCAUGCAUUGGGAGCACAGAGUCUUUUAACCACUGAACCACCAGGGAAGUCUUCAGACUCUGUUUAAGCACUUUCCCGGGUAACUCCUCGGUCUCGCAGCCGCCACGUGAAAUAGGCGUUACUGUCGUCUUAAGAAAACCAAGGCCGAUAGAGGUUCUGCAGCUGAGGGUGGUUCCGCCACAGCAGGCAAGGGGAAGAGGCCAGAUUUGAACCUGGGCAGCGUGGCUCCCAAGUCCGCUCCUUCGCCAGCCCCUGUGCCGUCCUGCUUGCUGGCCACCCCACGGCCGUUUUGUUGCUGUCUCUUGAAUGAAGAUGGGCCGGCGGCAUGAGCAGGAAGCGUGGUGUGUCAGUGACAGAUCACACCGCGCCAAGCCCCUCGCCACAGUUCCAUUCGUUGGUGGUUGCAUUGCCGACAGGCCGGCUGGGGCUGGGGGUGCACGGCCAGGAGUGGCGGGGGAGACGUUUGCUCAGAGUGAGGCGGUGCCGUUGCACCGGGGAACGUGCUCUUCAGUCAGCCUGUGUGCCAGCUCCGGGCUGGGAUGAAUCCCCGUUCCCAGCACCUUCCCUCCUGAUUGGGCUCAUUUUCCCUCAUCAUCUGCCCUCUCUGAGAUGCUCAUCUAGGGCCUGACUCCAUGAGGUGGUCUGAAGACGCUGUCUGAGUUUGCAUAGGGAAGUAUGUUUUUUUUUCUUCCAAGAAAAUGGAUAAAAGGGUUCUCUUUCCACUUGGGAAAUUCAGGUCAAGUCAGAUGCGAUCCAGUCUUUUGAAUUUUGACCCGAUUGACACAGGUUUUCCAAAUGGCGUUUAGAAACAGCUUUUCAGGCGGUUCCAUUUCCUUGCAUCCUUUUCAAAUUUUUAAUGAUUAACUGCAUGUUCUUUCUUCCCGGUGGGUCUGUUGUGUGUUGUUGCUGAGGUGUGCCCUGCCAGCCCCUGCUUUCCUUUCCCUUCUUGUCUCUUGGGCUCAGCAGCCUAGAACUGAGCUGACUCCUGCCCAGGAUGGGAUCAGCUUUGGCCGUAGGUAGAGGAUAAAGAUAGCAUCACCCUUUUCGGUUUCCAUGUUGGCUGAGAACAGCUGCAGCGCUUCGUAUAGCUCUGAACAUAACAUCUCAUUCCAGAGUCACUGAAGUUUUUAGUUUUCUGCAAGCCAGGGCUUAACCACGGGGUUUUCACAUUCAGACUCAGAGUCUCGAGUUUUCCUGUGAGAAACAGUUGCUUGUUUAGUUGAGUAAUUUAAGAGAACAGAGAUGAUGGUGGGGGAGGGAGGAGACCAUUUGUUUCUCCAGAGACCCAGGUCCUUCCUCUCCUUCAUCACUUUCAGCAGUUUUAAUUUGUUGAGGUGCUCUAGCAGACGUGUAGGUAAUUGAAGUUAAUCUUGAGUCAGGUCUAAACAAAAGAAGAGAAAACUGACCUGAAAAAGAACAACUGAAGUCACGCUAAUUGAAUCACCGGGCCCUGCAUGCAGAUCUGCUGGGACCGGCUGACCUCAGGACACGGUGCCCAUGCUCAGGGUGGGCCGCGUGCCUCUCAGGAAUGGCUGACUCCCUGGUCCCCAGCGGUUCCCGGCUGCAUUCCACACCGAGGCGCAUCUGGCCAGCUAUCCAGAGUCGGAAACAGAAUGCCGGACUCAACCUGAGGAGGAGGAGCGGGCUCCGGAGGGUCCCCGGCCCCUCUCCUGGGCCCAUUCUCGCGGUCACGUGGUUGUAAAGACCUAAGCUAAGAGCCCCCCCAGCCCCGUUCACCCCCUCUCGCCCCCUCUCUGGGGUCCUGGCUCCUGAAGCUACCAGUUCCCCUUUUCUCUUCCUCCUCCUCGCAGCAUACGGCCGCUGCCUGUGUUCUUGAGAUUACUAAUCCGCAGGGUGUCCGAGUGCCGCUUCGUGCCUGCUCGAGGUUAGGCCCCUCCACCUCUGCGCCUCCUUCAGCUCCCCUGAUCUCUCUCCUCGGGAGGGUUCCACACCCUGUCGUUGCCGACGUUUCCACACUCGUUCUCCCUACUGGGGACCUCGUUCCUCCCAGCCCUGGUUCUGUUCCACAUCCGUGGCUCAGAAUGGCUGUUCUUCAUGCCCCAUCCUGUACCUUCUCAUCUCUGAAUCUGAGCCCUGAUUUCUCACUCUGGUACCAAGACCCUCCCUUCUCACCCACUCCAUUUCUUCACUUGCCAAGUGUCUAAAAAAUAAUUGAGCCCAACCCCUUUAACAGUUGAAAACUUCUUCCAGGAAGUUUGAGCCUGUGGCCAGAGUGACUUCCUGCUCAGCUCCCUCUGCUCGGCAGUGUGAUCCAGCCAGCUUACAGGUCUCUGCACUUCUUUGAAAGGCAUUCAGGUUUAUCUUUCCCUCUCUGUUCCCUUUGUUCCCAUUUCCAGUCUGGUCUCCCUCCCCUGCGGUCCCAUGCCGUGUUCAAACAGGUUUCCUUAAAACUCUGACCUCAUCAUCUCGUGCACGCCCCAAGCCCACACCCGCUGCUGCCCCGGCCCGGUGUCCCCAGCUCCCUGUGACCAUCCCUCGUAUCCUGUGCAGGCAGGACCCGGCUCCCCGGCUGCUUGUGGUCCUUUCUGGGUAUCAGCUCCCCCAUCCUCUCUGCCACCUUGGACACUCCUCCAC